rnacentral:rRNA from 1 species
CAGUCGCCGCGGGAAUACGUAGGGUGCGAGCGUUAAUCGGAAUUACUGGGCGUAAAGCGUGCGCAGGCGGUUGUGUAAGACAGGUGUGAAAUCCCCGGGCUUAACCUGGGAACUGCGCUUGUGACUGCUCAGCUAGAGUAUGGCAGAGGGGGGCGGAAUUCCACGUGUAGCAGUGAAAUGCGUAGAGAUGUGGAGGAACACCGAUGGCGAAGGCAGCCCCCUGGGCCAAUACUGACGCUCAUGCACGAAAGCGUGGGGAGCAAACAGGAUUAGAGACCCGCGUAGUCCCUGUCUCUUAUAC